rnacentral:lncRNA from 1 species
AUGUAUAAUAUACAUUUUGGGAAAUGCAGAAAAAUAGAAGAAAAUUUACCAUCUGUAAAUAAACAUUUUUAACUUUUGACCUAUAUCCUUCCCAAUAUUUUUUACUCUCUUGGAUAUAGGUUUAUUUUGGGUUUUGACUUAACCUAAUUGGGAUCAUCUUGUGCAUAAUCUUUUGUAGACUUGAAUUUUCCUCCCACUUACUAUAAAAUGAGCAUCACUCCAUGUCACUACAUAUUCUUUUUUUUUUUUAAAUAAGGUCUCACUGUGUUGCCCAGGCUGGAGUGCAGUGGCACAAUCUUGGCUCACUGCAGCCUCGACCUCCUGGGCUCAAGCAAUUGUCCCCCCUCAGCCUCCUGAGUAGUUGGGACUGCAGGUACAAGCCACCACGCCUGGCUAAUUUUUGUAAUGUUUGUAGAGAUGGGGUUUCGCCAUGUUGCCCAGGCUGGAAUAUUCUACAUUAUGCUUCUUAAUGGGCAUAUAGCAUUUGUCCUGUGACUAUAUAUAUUUUCACUUCAGCCAUACACUAAAUUGGGCAUUAGGUUUGGGUUUUUAAAUAUUUGAUACUUAAAAAUUAAUAAAAAUUGGUGAAUAUUAAAUAUUUAAUGUAUAUAAGUAUAUAGAAUAAUACAAUUGUAUACACAGAAUAGUGGCCCCCAAAGACAUCAGUGGCCUAAUCCUCAGAACCUUUAGUUACAUGGCAAGUGGAAUAAAGGUUGCUGAUUAGCUGAUUUAAUCUAGAAGGAGUAUCCUGGAUUAUCUGUGUAGGCCCAGUGGAAUCACAAGGGUUCUUGAAAGUGGAAGAGGAAGACAGAAGAGCGAGAAGGAGAUGUGGUAAUGGAAGGUCUGAGAGGUGCUAUGUUGAUGGCUUGUAGAUGGAAGAGGGCCAUGAGCCAAGGAAUGUGGGCAGCGUCUAGAAGCUGGAAAAGGCAAGGAAAUGGACUCCCUCCUGGAUCUCCCAAAGAGGGACACAGCCCUGCCAACAUCUCAACUUUAGCCCAAUAAGACCUGGCUCAGACUUCUGUCCAGAACUAUGGAAUUCCAGGCUGGAGUGUAGUGGUCCCGAUCUCGGCUCACUGAAACAUCUGCCUCCUGGGUUCAAGUGAUUCUUGUGCCUCAGCCUCCCAAGUAGCUGGGACUACAGGUGCACGCAUCAUGCCCAGCUAAUUUUUGUACUUUUAGUAGAGACGAGGUUU